AGCCUGAACGCUGGCGGCGUGGCUAAGACAUGCAAGUCGCACGGGCCGUAGCAAUACGGUCAGUGGCGGACGGGUGAGUAAUGAAUCGCUAAUGUACCCCGGACUCCGGGAUAGCUACCCGAAAGGGUAGGUAAUACCGGAUGAGACCACAGGCAGGCAUCUGCCGGUGCUCAAAGGUCAGCCGGUCCGGGCGCAGGCGAUUUCGAUCAGCUAGUUGGUGCGGGUAACGGCCCACCAAGGCGAUGACGCGUAACUGGUCUGAGAGGACGGCCAGUCACAUCGGGACUGAGACACUGCCCGGACUCCUACGGGGGCUGCAGUAACGAAUCUUCCCCAAUGCGCGCAAGCGUGAGGGAGCGACGCCGCGUGUAGGACGAAGUCCUUCGGGAUGUAAACUACUGUCAGGGGCAACCAAGUUCUGAGGUGCCCCAGAGGAAGAGGCGGCUAACUCUGUGCCAGCAGCCGCGGUAA
rnacentral:rRNA from 1 species